UACGUAGGGUGCGAGCGUUGUCCGGAAUUAUUGGGCGUAAAGAGCUUGUAGGCGGUUUGUCGCGUCUGCUGUGAAAUUUCGGGGCUCAACCCCGAACUUGCAGUGGGUACGGGCAGACUAGAGUGUGGUAGGGGAGACUGGAAGUUCCUGGUGUAGCGGUGAAAUGCGCAGAUAUCAGGAGGAACACCGGUGGCGAAAGCGGCUUCCUGGUCCAGCACCGACGUCAGGCACGAAAGCGUGGG
rnacentral:rRNA from 1 species